UGGAGGUCCUCUUCAGAGAGGCCUGGCCACUAGUGUGGCUUGAGGUGCUUACAAUUAUUGAUCAUUAUUUUUAAGGGUAAAAGGUCUUUGUCAUGGGUUGAAGGUGAUAACCUGUACUGUCUCAUGUGAUUGAAGCCUUGGGCACUUUAGGAAUCCCUAUUUGAGAAAUUAGGGAGCUCUUGGAUGUGUGGCUUGGCUGAAGUGGUGGGUCCUUAAGAGAGCUUGGAGACUGUCAAUGCAGUAAAAACAGAUGCUUCAUACUCUACUGCCAGUGCCAGAACCUGAGCCCUGUGCAUGGUCCUCUGAAAGCUAAGGUUGAAGGUGUGAAGGCAUUAAACAAGUCUGUAGAGACGGAGAAUGCUGUCUCAUUUAGUGACAUAUCUGAGGGGACACAUGUGCAGGCUGAGAUUGAGGAGACUGGCAGUACUAUCACUUUCAGUCACACAACUCUCGAUGUUCUUGGAGGAUGCAAACUAAGACAGGAACUUUGGACCCCAGGAUGAUGCUGACAUCACAGGAAGCAUCAACACAACUGCAGACUUGAAUGAAAUUGUCAGUUAAGACAAGAUGUAAUAUCAUAUAUGCUAUGAUUCUUGCUCAGCACAGGAACAAUGAAUAUUAAAAUGACAAGGUCAUAGUCAUCGAGGAGUUAUUAUCUACCUCCACCAAGGAUCAGCUCCAGGAGGCACCCAAAGCCUCUAGUGGAAACAACUGAAGGGAGUGGAAGGGGGUGAGGAGUUACAUUGCUGCCUCCUCACCAAGGAGAAAAGACACAGCAUCCAGGGUUGAAGAUGAGGCCUGGGCCUAUCGUUCCAAAACCACACAUUUGUCUUUGGCUUGGUGGGGUAUAACAGCCUCAGGAGGGAGCAAGGCCAGAACUUGAAGGGAGGUAUGCCCUAAACCUCUUGUUUCCUGUCAG